CAGUAGCCGCGGGAAUACGUAGGGUGCAAGCGUUAAUCGGAAUUACUGGGCAUAAAGCGUGCGCAGGCGGUUCUAUAAGACAGAUGUGAAAUCCCCGGGCUCAACCUGGGAACUGCAUUUGUGACUGUAGAGCUGGAGUGCGGCAGAGGGGGAUGGAAUUCCGCGUGUAGCAGUGAAAUGCGUAGAUAUGCGGAGGAACACCGAUGACGAAGGCAAUCCCCUGGGCCUGCACUGACGCUCAUGCACGAAAGCGUGGGGAGCAAACAGGAUUAGAUACCCGAGUAGUCCCUGUCUCUUAUAC
rnacentral:rRNA from 1 species